AGACGGAGGUUAAUGGAGGCGCACUGACAGCUUCCAAGACAGACCCUGAGAUGAGGGCCUGGAGAGCUGGGAAGCA